rnacentral:misc_RNA from 1 species
UUAAGUUCAGCGGGUAGUCUCACCCGAUUUGAGGUCAAGGUUCUUUGUGGGUCCAGCCUCCCGCCGUAUAGUGGCGGCGACCGGAGCACCAUCGUUGUCCAUGGGACGGUUGGGAGCGGAGAAAACAGUGCCAAAUCCAAGACGUAGAAACAUCUUAUCACGUCAAGGAUCAGCAAAGCGGACCCCACUAAUUCAUUUGA